GCACUGGCAAAAUCCAGUGCCGGGAUUGGCGUCCCGGAUUACUACAGAGGCACAUAUGCCGCAUAAGCGGUUUUUUU
rnacentral:sRNA from 2 species